rnacentral:rRNA from 1 species
CCUACGGGCGGCAGCAGUGGGGAAUAUUGCACAAGGGGGGGAACCCUGAUGCAGCAACGCCGCGUGGGUGAAGAAGUACUUCGGUAUGUAAAGCCCUGUCAGCAGGGAAGAAAAGGACGGUACCUGACCAAGAAGCCCCGGCUAACGACGUGCCAGCAGCCGCGGUAAUACGUAGGGGGCAAGCGUUAUCCGGAUUUACUGGGUGUAAAGGGAGCGUAGACGGCAAGGCAAGUCUGGAGGGAAAGCCCGUGGCUCAACCACGGGACUGCUUGGGAAACUGUGUUGCUGGAGUGCAGGAGGGGUAAGCGGAAUUCCUAGUGUAGCGGUGAAAUGCGUAGAUAUUAGGAGGAACACCGGUGGCGCAGGCGGCUUACUGGACUGUACCUGACGUUGCGGCUCGAAGGCGUGGGGAGCAAACAGGAUUAGAUACCCGAGUAGUC